GUAGGGAAUAUUGCACAAUGGAGGAAACUCUGAUGCAGCGACGCCGCGUGAGUGAUGAAGGCCUUCGGGUCGUAAAGCUCUGUCGCAGGGGAAUAACACAAUGAAGGUACCCUGUAAGAAAGGAUCGGCUAACUUCGUGCCAGCAGCCGCGGUAAGACGAGGGAUCCUAGCGUUGUUCGGAAUCAUUGGGCGUAAAGCGGAUGUAGGUGGCUAUGUAAGUCAGAUGUGAAAGCCUGGGGCUCAACCCCAGAAGUGCAUUUGAUACUGCGUAGCUUGAGUGUCGUAGAGGUUACUAGAAUUGUUGGUGUAGUGGUGAAAUACGUAGAUAUCAACAGGAAUACCGGAGGCGAAGGCGGGUAACUGGCCGAACACUGACACUGAGAUCCGAAAGCGUGGGGAUCAAACAGGAUUAGAAACCCGGGUAGUCC
rnacentral:rRNA from 1 species